UGCCCCCAAACACUGGGUCUGAAGCGUUGUGGCUAGGCUAGCAAUCCAGUUACUGCUGCUGCUGCAAAACAAAGCACCUUACAAAGCUGCGCUACUGUCAUCGCUAAUGUCCAAAGAUCGAUUGGUGGAAGAAUCUGCAAGGAAACCUUUGGUAGCUCUCUAAUUGCUCAACCAACUGAACUAUGGCACAACAAGACCCAGAAUGACUUUUUGUUAUGUAUCCUAUUGGAACAGAUAUUGCAGUGGAUACACCUGUGAUUUGGUCCCACAAAUUUGCAGUAUGAAGACAUUCUACAGUACUUCUACAGAGGAGAAUCGCUUCCUUUAGCUUACUGGCAGUAGAAAGGCUCUGUAAUAGCACCACAUGUACAAAGUUUUGUUUAUUAUGGAAACACUUUAAUCUCAAAUGAAGUCAAUUAUCUAAACAGCUGGAAUUGGAAAUUUGAACAAUGGAAUGUGACAUUCCUGGAUUUGCAUGUAAUAUGCUUAACUGGUAAU